rnacentral:rRNA from 1 species
GACGAACGCUGGCGGCGCGCCUAACACAUGCAAGUCGAACGAGCAAAGAGGAGCUUGCUUCUCUGAGCGAGUGGCGAACGGGUGAGUAACGCGUGAGGAACCUGCCUCAAAGAGGGGGACAACAGUUGGAAACGACUGCUAAUACCGCAUAAGCCCACGGGUCGGCAUCGACCAGAGGGAAAAGGAGCAAUCCGCUUUGAGAUGGCCUCGCGUCCGAUUAGCUAGUUGGUGAGGUAACGGCCCACCAAGGCGACGAUCGGUAGCCGGACUGAGAGGUUGAACGGCCACAUUGGGACUGAGACACGGCCCAGACUCCUACGGGAGGCAGCAGUGGGGAAUAUUGCACAAUGGGGGAAACCCUGAUGCAGCGACGCCGCGUGGAGGAAGAAGGUCUUCGGAUUGUAAACUCCUGUUGUUGAGGAAGAUAAUGACGGUACUCAACAAGGAAGUGACGGCUAACUACGUGCCAGCAGCCGCGGUAAAACGUAGGUCACAAGCGUUGUCCGGAAUUACUGGGUGUAAAGGGAGCGCAGGCGGGAAGACAAGUUGGAAGUGAAAUCCAUGGGCUCAACCCAUGAACUGCUUUCAAAACUGUUUUUCUUGAGUAGUGCAGAGGUAGGCGGAAUUCCCGGUGUAGCGGUGGAAUGCGUAGAUAUCGGGAGGAACACCAGUGGCGAAGGCGGCCUACUGGGCACCAACUGACGCUGAGGCUCGAAAGUGUGGGUAGCAAACAGGAUUAGAUACCCUGGUAGUCCACACCGUAAACGAUGAUUACUAGGUGUUGGAGGAUUGACCCCUUCAGUGCCGCAGUUAACACAAUAAGUAAUCCACCUGGGGAGUACGACCGCAAGGUUGAAACUCAAAGGAAUUGACGGGGGCCCGCACAAGCAGUGGAGUAUGUGGUUUAAUUCGACGCAACGCGAAGAACCUUACCAAGUCUUGACAUCCUGCGACGGACAUAGAAAUAUGUCUUUCCUUCGGGACGCAGAGACAGGUGGUGCAUGGUUGUCGUCAGCUCGUGUCGUGAGAUGUUGGGUUAAGUCCCGCAACGAGCGCAACCCUUAUGGUCAGUUACUACGCAAGAGGACUCUGGCCAGACUGCCGUUGACAAAACGGAGGAAGGUGGGGAUGACGUCAAAUCAUCAUGCCCUUUAUGACUUGGGCUACACACGUACUACAAUGGCGUUAAACAAAGAGAAGCAAGACCGCGAGGUGGAGCAAAACUCAGAAACAACGUCCCAGUUCGGACUGCAGGCUGCAACUCGCCUGCACGAAGUCGGAAUUGCUAGUAAUCGUGGAUCAGCAUGCCACGGUGAAUACGUUCCCGGGCCU